AUGGCAAACCCUCCUAAGGAGAAAAUAUGUGGGUUCAAAGGCGAUAUCUCAAGUAUACUGAAAGCCUGGGCACUCUCACUUUUGGGCGGGUCUAAUGGAAAUGAAGAAAUAUAUAUCUUUCUCUAUGAUUCCUUCUCAAUUAAGGAUGGUUCGGAAAUUAGAUUCCGGGAGGAUAAGCGGCUAGGUAAUCCUACACUUUGAGAACAAUAUCUAGCUGUAUACAGUAUUGUGCGUCACAAGGGUGAUACUAUUGCCAAGGUUUUGAAAUCAUUUCCGUCAAAUGUGACGUUCAGAAGAGAUUUAAUUGGACCUAGACUCCAAUCGUGGAACAUAUUGCUCCAGUGGUUAACCAUGGUACAGUUGUCACAAGGGUCCGAUGUAUUUCGUUGGAACCUACAUGGUGUCCAUGUAUAG
rnacentral:rRNA from 1 species